GGCGGCCGCGGGAAUUCGAUUAGAGUUUGAUCAUGGCUCAGAUUGAACGCUGGCGGCAGGCCUAACACAUGCAAGUCGAGCGGUAGAGAGAAGCUUGCUUCUCUUGAGAGCGGCGGACGGGUGAGUAAUGCCUAGGAAUCUGCCUGGUAGUGGGGGAUAACGUUCGGAAACGGACGCUAAUACCGCAUACGUCCUACGGGAGAAAGCAGGGGACCUUCGGGCCUUGCGCUAUCAGAUGAGCCUAGGUCGGAUUAGCUAGUUGGUGGGGUAAUGGCUCACCAAGGCGACGAUCCGUAACUGGUCUGAGAGGAUGAUCAGUCACACUGGAACUGAGACACGGUCCAGACUCCUACGGGAGGCAGCAGUGGGGAAUAUUGGACAAUGGGCGAAAGCCUGAUCCAGCCAUGCCGCGUGUGUGAAGAAGGUCUUCGGAUUGUAAAGCACUUUAAGUUGGGAGGAAGGGCAGUAAAUUAAUACUUUGCUGUUUUGACGUUACCGACAGAAUAAGCACCGGCUAACUCUGUGCCAGCAGCCGCGGUAAUACGAAUCACUAGUGAAUUCGCGGCCGCCUGCAGGUCGACCAUAUGGGAGAGCUCCC
rnacentral:rRNA from 1 species